AUUGAAAGCUGGCGGCAGGCCUAACACAUGCAAGUCGAACGAGUGGCGGACGGGUGAGUAAUGUCUGGGAAACUGCCUGAUGGAGGGGGAUAACUACUGGAAACGGUAGCUAAUACCGCAUACCAUCGGAUGUGCCCAGAUGGGAUUAGCUAGUAGGUGGGGUAAAGGCUCACCUAGGCGACGUACCCUAGCUGGUCUGAGAGGAUGACCUGCCAAACUGGCACUGGUGGACGGUCCAGAUUCCUACGGGAGGCCGGAGUUGGGAAUAUGGCACCAUGGGCGUAAGCCUGAUGCAGCCAUGCCGCGGGUAUGAAGAAGGCCUUCGGGUUGUAAAGUUCUUUCAGCGGGGAGGCGUUACCCGCAGAAGAAGCACCGGCUAACUCCGUGCCAGCAGCCGAGGUGAUAC
rnacentral:rRNA from 1 species